GAUAAGGUCGUGCGAUCAUAUCCUUCCUUUACAGUUUUCUAAUGGCGUGGGACAAUCAUAGGCCACCACGGAUUUCACUUUUACUGUAUUUGAUUCAGAUGGCGUGACGAUAAAAUGCGUCGGAGACGCAGGGCUCACGGCAGAGGAGGCGGUUGCGUUAAGCAUGGCGGGGAGGUUGGUGUUGGCUGUGAACACAGAGAGGUUCGAGUUAGCCAAGGUCGAUCCUUCCACCACCUUGCUCGAAUUCUUGAGAACCCGCACUCGAUUCACUGGACCCAAGCUCGGUUGCGGCGAGGGUGGAUGUGGGGCUUGUGUUGUUCUUCUUUCUAAAUAUGAUCCAGUUAGUGAUCAAGUGAAAGAAUUCAGUGUUAGUUCUUGUCUUACACUACUUUGCAGUAUAAAUUUUUGCUCUGUUACCACUACUGAAGGACUUGGAAAUACCAAAGAUGGCUACCAUUCAAUUCAUAAGAGGUUCUCAGGGUUUCAUGCAACUCAGUGUGGCUUCUGCACUCCUGGUAUGUGUAUGUCACUCUUCUCUGCCCUUACAAAUGCAGAUAAGACUGAUGGGCCUGAACCUCCCAUCGGGUUCUCGAAGAUCACCAAAUUUGAGGCUCAAAAGUCUAUUUCUGGUAACCUUUGUCGAUGCACUGGCUAUAGACCCAUUGCAGAUGUCUGCAAGAGUUUUGCAGCUGAUGUUGAUUUGGAAGAUUUGGGUCUGAAUACAUUUUGGAAGAAGCCAGAGGAUGCAAAUGUUGACAGACUGCCUCCUCACAACCAAGGCCAAAUUUGCACUUUUCCUGAAUUUCUGAAAUCUGAGAUCAAUUCAUCUAUGGGUGCCUUAGACAGUUCCCAAGAUAGUGGCUUGCCAGAGUGCCAGUGGUAUCGGCCUUCUGGCCUUGAACAACUCUACAAACUUUUGAAUUCCGAUGAAUUCGCUGAAAAUCAAGUCAAAUUGGUUAUGGGUAACACAGGAUCUGGCGUUUACAAGGAAAAUGACUUGUAUGAUAAGUACAUUGAUCUCACAGGUAUACCAGAACUCUCAGUCGUCAAAAGGGAUAGCAAAGGGAUUACACUUGGAGCUGCUGUGACAAUUUCCAGGGCUAUUGAAGUGCUGAAAGAAAAGGAUAAUACAGUACUCCAUUCGGGUGGAAAAUUAAUCUUUUGUAAAAUUGCUGAUCAUAUGGAUAAGGUCGCUUCUCCCUUCAUCAGAAAUAUGGCUAGCUUGGGUGGAAAUCUGAUUAUGGCACAAAGAAAUCAGUUUGCCUCAGAUAUUGCUACAAUACUUCUUGCUGUUGGAUCAAUUGUUUGUUUUCAGACCUCUUCAGGGAGGUUAAUUAUUUCACUUGAAGAAUUUCUUAAGUUGCCUCCAUGUGAUGACAGAACCAUACUCAUAAGCAUACAUAUUCCUUAUUGGAGUUCGGAAAUAGAUUCUUCCUCUGCAACUAGCAAUGCCAUGGUUUCUGUUCCUAAAAGUGAUUCCAGUAUUCUGUUUGAAACAUACCGAGCAGCUCCGCGCCCACUUGGGAAUGCUAUUUCUUAUCUGAAUUCUGCUUUCUUGGUUCAUGUUAUUUCUGAUAAGAUCUCUGGGGAUCUUAUUUUACUAAAUCUACACUUGGCUUUUGGGGCUUAUGGUAGCGAACAUGCCAUCAGAGCAAGGAAAGUUGAGGAGUUCUUGACGGGCAAAAUUCUCACAGCCUCAAUUUUACUUGGAGCCAUUCAUUUACUGAAAGAGACCAUCAUACCAAAAGUAGGCACUCGUCAUUCAAGAUACAGAGCAAGUUUGGCCAUUACUUUUCUAUUCAAUUUUUUUCAACCAUUUGCUAAAGAAUUGGUUGUGGCUGAGAAGAUUAACCAUGUGGAUGUAUCUAGUGUUGCUACUCAUUAUCCAAAUGACAAAACCAAUGGGUCUGAGGACAUAAUGGAACCAAGGACAUCAAAAUUUGAACAACUUUGCAAUCCUAGCAUCAUCUUGUCUUCAAAGCAGUUAGUUGAGUUUAGCACAGAUUACGAUCCUAUCGGCGCGCCUAUCAAGAAAGUCGGAGCUGAAAUUCAAGCCUCGGGUGAAGCAAUAUAUGUUGAUGAUAUUCCUUCUCCUAAAGAUUGCCUUUAUGGAGCAUUUGUGUACAGCACACGUCCUUUGGCUCAUAUAGAGGGCAUUACAUUCAAAUCUACGCAGGCAUCACCUAAAGUCAUUGCUUAUAUCGGUGCUAGUGACAUCCCACCACGUGGGGAAAACAUUGGAUGUAGAUUUGUUUUUGGAGCUGAACCACUAUUUGCUGAUUCUUUGACUGAAUAUGUUGGUCAAUGUCUUGGUGUUGUGGUAGCAGAAACACAGAGAUAUGCCAACAUGGCUGCUAAACAAGCAAACGUGCAGUAUUCCAAUGAGGACUUGGAACCUCCAAUCCUAUCCAUCGAAGAUGCUAUCGCAAGAUCAAGUUUCUUUGAUGUGCCUCCCGCAAUGUAUCCUAAGCGGAUCGGUGAUCUAGCCAAAGGAAUGGAUGAAGCUGAUCACAAGAUUCUCUCAGCUGAGAUUAAACUCGGUUCCCAAUAUUACUUUUACAUGGAAACACAAACAGCUCUUGCCAUUCCAGAUGAAGAUAACUGCAUUGUGGUUUAUAGUUCAACUCAAUUUCCCGAGCAUACCCAGGGUGUGAUUGCAAAAUGCCUUGGAGUACCGGAGCAUAAUGUUCGUGUAAUUACAAGAAGAGUUGGAGGAGGUUUUGGUGGGAAAGCUCUACGAUCCAUGGUGAUAGCAGCCGCAUGUGCUCUUGCAGCAUUUACAUUGCAUCGUCCAGUUAGGAUGUACCUUGAUCGCAAAACAGAUAUGAUAAUGAUAGGAGGACGACACCCUAUGAAAAUAAACUAUUCUGUGGGUUUCAAGUCUGAUGGGAAGAUUACAGCCUUGCACAUGGAUUUAUUUAUUAAUGCAGGCAUAACAAUCGAUCUUAGUCCACUUAUUCCAUCUGCUGUUAUAACAGCUUUGGAAAAGUACAAUUGGGGUGCUCUCUCUUUCAAUAUCAAGUUAUGCAAAACGAAUCUUACAAGUAAAUCAGCCAUGCGAGCUCCAGGAGAUGUACAGGGAUCUUAUAUUGCUGAAGCUAUUAUUGAACAUGUAGCAGCUUUCCUAUCCAUGGAUACUGAUUCUGUCAGAAAGAAAAAUCUGCACACCUACGAAAGCCUUAGGUCAUUUUAUGGACCCAGCAGUGGUGAUGCUUCAGAAUAUACUCUACCUGGUAUAGUAGAUGAAUUGGCUUCAACAGCCAGCUAUCUGCAACGCCUUGGAAUGGUCCAAUAUUUCAAUACUUGCAAUAAGUGGAAAAAACGAGGAAUAUCCUGGGUACCUAUUAUAUACCAUGUUGAACCAAAGUCGACGCCAGGGAAAGUGUCUAUUCUAAAUGAUGGCUCAGUAGUUAUUGAAGUUGGAGGUGUUGAAAUAGGCCAGGGGCUGUGGACAAAGGUAAAGCAAAUGGUAGCAUUUGUUCUUGGACAGCUUUGGGAGGGUGUAAGUUUAAAUCUUUUGGAUAGGUUGAGGAUCAUCCAAGUGGAUAGUUUGAGUUUGAUUCAGGCAAGUUUUACUGGUGGAAGCACCAAAUCUGAAUCAAGUUGUGAAGCAGUUCGUCUUGCUAGCAGUAUUCUAGUCAGCAGAUUGAAGCCACUCAAGCAAAGUUUAGAAGAACAAAUGGGUUCAAUCUCAUGGGAGACCCUAAUUUCCCAGGCAACUAUGCAAGCAGUGAACUUGUCAGCAAGCGCUUAUUGGGUCCCUGAGGAUAAAUUAGACUAUCUGAACUAUGGAGCUGCUAUAAGUGAGGUGGAGGUUGAUAUUCUUACAGGAGCUACUACCAUCUUAAGGACAGAUCUUACUUAUGACUGCGGGCAGAGCUUGAAUCCUGCUGUGGAUCUAGGACAGGAGCCAUGUGGGAUGCUUGCCACAUGAGGUCGCGGGGUCGAAACUCGGGGUAGUCGGGGCGUAAAUCCCAGGUCCCUGUGCAAUUCACCCCACCUAUCACAUGCUCGCUCAGGAUGCUAUGAUUUACCUCCCUUGUGAUGGCCUUGGGUCGGGUGCGGCGGGGGCGCUGGGGGCGAGCGAUUUCACCUUUUGCCACAUGUGGAUCUCAUUGUGCAAAUUUUAUGACUGCAAUAUGCCAUUGUGAACUCAAUAGUUCUUUUACUACAAAUUAAUCUCGCUAUCUCUUUUUCGACAGAUUGAAGGCGCCUUUGUUCAAGGAAUUGGGUUCUUUUUGUACGAGGAACAUGUGGAAAACUCAGAUGGCUUGGUAGUUUCAGACGGUACGUGGACAUAUAAGAUCCCUACUGUCGACACCAUCCCGAAGCAAUUCAACGUCAAACUAAUGAAAAGUGGACAUCACGAGAAGCGUCUACUUUCCUCAAAGGCUUCCGGAGAACCACCACUGCUUCUAGCUUCUUCAGUUCACUGUGCGGUUCGAGAAGCGAUAAGAGCUGCUCGGGCUGAGUUCUCUUCCAACGACGAUAACCAUUCCGCAUCGACAUUCCAACUCGACGUUCCGGCAACCAUGCCAGUAGUGAAAGAGCUGUGUGGCCUAAACACGGUGGAGAAGUACUUGGAGACUUUGGCGUCUUCUCAAGGGAAAGUGGAAGCCUAACAAGCUUGACUUGGUAUGUACAGAAGCAAGAUCAGAUACAAUAUAGUGAUUUCCAGGCAUCCUUUAUUCACUCGAACAAAUAGUUAUAUAUCUAGUGAGUGAUUCCAAAUCAUGUUAUGUUGAUCUUCUCUCUCCUCGUAUAUUUGUUUUGUUGAAGGGGAGUCUUAGUGCAACGGUAAAGUUGUUGUCUAUGUGAUAAAAAAUUUACGGAUUUGAAUUUUGAAAAUAACUUCUUGUAAAAAGUAAAAUAAAACUGCGUACAAUAGUUCAUU